rnacentral:tmRNA from 1 species
GGGGCUAUCUGGAUUUGACAGCGGGUAGAAAAUGUAUGUAAGCACGCAGUGCCUCGUCGGUUUGCACUAUAAUCUGAGCCGGCAAAGAAUUAUCUGGCGAAACAAAUUAUGCUCUCGCUGCUUAAUCGAAGUACAGUAGAUUAGCUUUAUUCCGGCACAAGGUGCCGGAACGGGACAUCACCCGGACACUGUUGUUCCGAAGUAAUCCGAUAUGGUGGUGCAGGCAAAUCGGGACUAUCCGCAUCAGGCCUCGAUGCUGUGGAGACAUUUCAGAGGAUAAGGCAUAAGUUGGCGGUCUCGGUCUUGCUUAUGCACGAAAACCCUACCGAAGACUAAGCGUGUAGAAAGCAUAUGGUUUCCUCGUUUGGACGAGGGUUCGACUCCCUCUAGCUCCACAA